UACGUAGGGUGCGAGCGUUGUCCGGAUUUAUUGGGCGUAAAGAGCUCGUAGGCGGUUUGUCGCGUCGGCCGUGAAAUCUCCACGCUUAACGUGGAGCGUGCGGUCGAUACGGGCAGACUUGAGUUCGGUAGGGGAGACUGGAAUUCCUGGUGUAGCGGUGAAAUGCGCAGAUAUCAGGAGGAACACCGGUGGCGAAGGCGGCCCGCUGGGAUACUUGCUGACGCUGAGGCGCGACAGCGUGGGGAGCAAACAGG
rnacentral:rRNA from 1 species